rnacentral:rRNA from 1 species
CCUACGGGGUGCUGCAGUGGGGAAUAUUGGACAAUGGGCGAAAGCCUGAUCCAGCCAUGCCGCGUGUGUGAAGAAGGCCUUCGGGUUGUAAAGCACUUUCAGUGGGGAAGAAAGCCUUGGGGCUAAUACCCUCGAGGAAGGACAUCACCCACAGAAGAAGCACCGGCUAACUCCGUGCCAGCAGCCGCGGUAAUACGGAGGGUGCGAGCGUUAAUCGGAAUUACUGGGCGUAAAGCGCGCGUAGGCGGUCUGAUAAGCCGGUUGUGAAAGCCCCGGGCUCAACCUGGGAACGGCAUCCGGAACUGUCAGGCUAGAGUGCAGGAGAGGAAGGUAGAAUUCCCGGUGUAGCGGUGAAAUGCGUAGAGAUCGGGAGGAAUACCAGUGGCGAAGGCGGCCUUCUGGACUGACACUGACGCUGAGGUGCGAAAGUGUGGGUAGCAAACAGGAUUAGAUACCCGUGUAGUC